rnacentral:lncRNA from 1 species
GCCUUUUCUAGGGCCGUUCCCAUGGCGUAUGGAGGUUCCCAGGCUAGGGGUUUAAUUGGAACUGCAGACACUGGCCUCCGCCAGGGCCACAGCAACGCAGGAUCCAAGCCAUGUCUGCGACCUACACCACAGCUCACAGCAAUGCCGAAUCCUUAACUCACUGAGCCAGGCCAGGGAUCGAACCUGAAACCUCAUGGUUCCUAGUCGGAUUCGUUACCCACUGAGCCACAAUGGGACUCCUUUCUUGCUAUUCUUAACCAGCAAAGUCAUUUAUACAGACAGAGCCAACUCCAAUUCUUUUUUCCACAAUUCCUCUAUAUAGUUUCCCUUAUAUAGUGAAAAUAGGAGAAGAAAACAUGUAAACUUUCCAAUUACAGAGUCUCUAUACACAAAACUAUACAGAAGUUUAUAUUCAUGCUCAAUUCCUAUUUGUCUUUCCAAGUAACUGUAAACUCAUGGGUGAAAUUUCCAAUUUAUUUCUUCUAAGGAGCCUUUUUCUUAGCUAGUUUGAAAAAUAAAUUACUGCAGAGUUUACAUAAAUAUACUUAAAUAAAUAUUUGAUUUUACACUGAAAAUUCAGAGAUGUUUUUAUUGCUUAGCUCCUUAUCUUUUCUACCAUUGAAAUUCUGUUAUUACUUCGAAUGUUUAAUAACCCAUUUUGAUACAUAUUCAUUUCAAUAAAUUCUUUUUUUGGGUGUUCUUUUGUUCUUAUUUGUCGUUUUUUUUCUUUCUAAGUAGGAUCAUAUACAGAAACUACUCUUGUAUUUAAUAAUCAUAACCUGCUGAAACAUAAAAAUAUUUAAAUAUAACUUUAUUAAUGACACAUAUGAAUCAAUGUACAUAAAUGGAGGACAGUUUUUAAAGGAUGACUGUGACUACCAUAUAAAUACACAUAAAAGGUUAUUCUUGUUUUUCAAAGAAUUCAAUGGAAAUAAUGUCUGGAGGUGAGGAAGACAACUUUCCAUUAACAAAGAACUGAAAAGUUCAAUAAUUGCAAAAUAAUUUAAAUUAUCCAGAGAGGGAAUGAUUCACUACCAAAGUGUUCACCUGAAAGUAAGACGGAAGUCCUGAGCAGAAAGAAGGAGAGCAGAAGGUAAAGAUAUGACCUAAAUGUAGCUAAUUUUUAGAGUGACCUGUUUCCACUGUGGGUUUCAUCUUUUGCAUUUUCCUGGGUGGACACUGUGGCGUGGUUAAUGGAGGCUGCAGUGAACAGGGUUCAAGUUCAGGCCUUUUCCACAAUGGAUUUAUAGCUGGAUAAGAUUCAGACCAGGGUUUGAAGCAAGGACUCUGGCUCCACAGAGAGAGACAAACCCCCAUUUCAAUGGAUUUAGGACUCUGCCCCCAGGCCUCCCCACACCAGGUGGGGGGGGCGGGCAGCAACUGUGACAAUUGACCUCCAGGUCCAGCUGGAAAAUUACCCCCAGCUGUUGGACCCUGAGGCUCUCGCAUAGCACUGUUUCCUGAGGUAGCUAACAGCUCACCUGGCUGUGGCCUCCACCUAAAAGCUUACAAAACCAUAAGUUUCCUGCACCAGUCAUCACUUCACCUUCAUGGUGGCCAGACCAUGUGUUAGAGACCAGACCAGCUACAAGGGAGCAUCCUCAGGACACCCAGCUGGGCCUGCCCCAUCCAGCUGGGACCUCUCUGUGCCGUGAUGCCCUAGGUCACAGCUUUGCUUUCCUCCCAAUGCAUCCACAGCAGUCCCUGCUCCUUAUUCAAGUUCCCACCACCAGCCCCCUCCUCCAGGCUUGAAAAUGCCAUCUCUACUCCCCUACUGCUGAACAACUCAACCUCCAUGCCCCACCACCCAGUAGGCCAGAUCCCAUAGGACAGAAAUAUUCCUACAGACCUCCAAGUCUGCAGCCCAAGCCUUGCAAGUAAAGUAAUGGUGGGUCUGUGACCCCACAGGUCAGACCUGCAGCCCUGUCACAAUCCAGCCUCCAGCUUCUCCUAGGGGUCAGCCCCUAGUGCUAAAACCAGGCAGGGCCCUGUGGGCUCCUGAGCACACAAAACUUUCUGUACCCCCAUUUCUUGCUUUUAUGGAAUAAACUUCAGCCUCCAUGACCUUCCCUAAAUUCCAAAGGGCUGGUUCAAACAGUUGCUAAUCAGGGAAAGGAGGGGAUGCAGAGACUGGAAAGGAGCAAUAAGAAACAAUAGUGCAGGUUUGGGGGCAGAGUCCUGGUCCCUCCUCAAGGAAUAUAGUUAACAAUUUCUUUGAGUUCUUCUACACAACUAAACCCCCCAACAAAUGGAAAAUGUUAAUGAAGCAUUCUUUAGUCAGGAAAGAAGACCACCAGACCACUGAACACCAGCUUUGAAGUCAAUGCAAACUUGCCUCUACCCUGAUCCUUAUCUGUGGCCCUUUUUUUCACUCCUAAACUAUAAAACCACCUACUAAUCUCUCGUAAGGGGGAUGCAGUCUUUGAGAUAUUAGCCUGCUGUGACCCUCCUGGAAAAGCAAUAAAACUAUUUUUUCUCCUUCGCCCCCAAAAUCCUGUCAGUGUGUUUCUAUUUGGCACCAGUGAGCAGAGGCUGGGUUCUGGCAAUCGUGCAAACUUUCCCUCCUUUAGGCUGGACCAAACCCCUAGUCUAGACCCCAACAGAGCACCUGUGGGGACCCAUCACAAUAGCUAACCCCCCAUGGGCAGUACUUCCUAAAGGCUACAAACUACAUUUGAAUGCAAGGGCUGGACCUCAGCCUUACACUCCCCGCAUCAUAAUGAAUGAUGCUUCAUUCAGAUUCUUUUGUGGACCUGACUCAGGUGGCCAGGAAUGGGUCCACUUGAUCCUGCUCAGUCUGCCAGCUGUCCACAGAGAUGACCCCUAUUAUGGCAACAUUGUUACUCUUAAUAUUCCAGCACCUCUCCACUGGAAACACCCUGCUCACUUAGCAAGAGGACGAUUCUGACUCCUGUCCUGUUGGACUGGCCAUCACCCUGGCCUGCCAGACGCAGGAACAGGUGCUGCCGCCCAGCCCAUCAAAAUCGAAUAUUAAAGCCACUGGGCAAUGGUCAGUCACCCUGACCAACUAUGUAUUGUGAGCCUAAUAGAACAAUAGGACUCACUGGUACAAAUGGUGAUGGAUAAUUGGCUGAUGUUAGAUUUCCCAUUAGUCAAUCUGUUUGGUACAGGAUGCCUCUCUGGUGUGGCUAUUAACAACCCAGGAAAGUACAGGCCAACCUCCAGAAGAUGUCUCAAUGUAUAUCAGUCAUGAUAAUGGAACUAAAAUGUCCCACAAAUGCCCACACUCCCCAAGGUCCCUGAUUUGUUCUCCUGGUCUCACCACCUACUUGGGAGUGGGGGCUGAGAACAGGGCUCAAAGCAGUAGGGGGUCUGGUCCUCAUGGGCUUCAUUGCCACUGCCUUCAUUAAACAUGGUGUACAACAUCUUCAGAAAACAACACCCCUGUCCUUCAACAUGUCUGGUAUACAAGGGAUUGCUAUUCCUGACACUAUGUCAUUGCAGGAUGAAUUGUUGAGAGUUGAGCUAGGCUGCCCAAGGCCUUGCUGCCUCUGCAUCCAUUCACAGGGAUCUUGUACUAACGCUAGUCCCUCUUGCAAACACAUACACUUGACAGCUGCCUGCAAAGUCACAAGCAAAUGUAACCUCCUGAUGUGGCUCCCCAGUAGCCCCCUGCCCCCUAGUACUUUCACCUUAUGUGCCCCUGAAACCAAGCAGGACUCUAUGGGGUUCCUGGGCACAAAAGCCUUUCUUUGCCCCCAUUUCUUAUUUUUAGGGAAUAAACUUCAGCCUCCAUGACCAAAGGGCAGAUUCAAAGAGCUGCUAAAGGGAGGAGAUGCAGAAGAGGAGGGAGGAACAGUCAAGAAACCAUUGUGCAGCCUUGGGGCAGGAUCCUGGUUCCUCUUCAAGGAAUAUACAUAACAGUAUUUUUGAGUUCUUCUGCAGAACUGAAACACCCAACAAAUGAAAACCAGAGAGGGGGACCUCCAGAUCCAGUCCUGGAGCCACUAAACACCAACUUUGAAGAAGAAUACAAGCUUGCAUCUACCCUGAUCCUUGCCUGCUGCCCUAUUUUCUACUCCCAAACCAUAAAACCACCUCCUAAUCUCUCCUAAGGGAGGGCACAGUCUUUAGAACACCAGCCCCCUAUGGCUUCCUUUGCCUGGCAAAGUGGUGUAGCUAAUUUGUUUUUCCUUCACCCCCAGCUGUGUCUCCAAGUUUCUACUCAGCACCGGUGGACAGAGGCCAAGUUUUGGGAACACCCCUUAGAAAAGACCACCAUGGGCUCACCAAACCCCACUCUUUUGGUCUGAAUUGACAAGUCUGGCCUUCGUCAAGGAAGCCCAAAGCACUCCACCCACAGACCCUAGUAAAGGCCUGUGCCCCAGGUCCUCUCUCUCUCUCUGUGUACCUGCCUUGACCUCCCCAUGUGCCCCACCCACCCAGGUGUGCUGCGUCCCUCCUCCAGGACCUGAGAGUAACAAAUAUCUGGACUUCGAUUCCUCUACCCAGCACCCUGUGCUUUACUUAAUAAGCGUGAGUUUAGCAUACCCACAGUAGAAGGCUUGCACUUAGAUCUUUUGUCUCUAUUUACUGUGACAUUUUCUCCCACCAUAGCACUCUGUUUCUCACAAUUGUGGCAAAGAACAAACCUGACUUCAUACUAGAUCUGAAACCGAGCAGGACCGUGUGGUUUCAGAAAAGCCUUUUCCUGUCCUCCCUUUGUAGGAAAAAGGCUUCAGCCUCCUAGGCUUGCCCUGAGUUCCAAAGGGCAGAUUCAAACAGUCUCUAAUUAGGGAAAAAGUCACACAGCCUGCAGCCCUCACCCCACACUGUGCUAUAAAAACGAUUCCCAUAAAAGUAUCAGUACUGAUUUUUUUGAGCAACAGCAACCCGUUCUUUGUGCAUGGCCCUGCAAUAAACCUCUGCUCUCAACUCUGUGCUCUGUGCACAGGAGCUUGCACUCUGAACAGAUCUUUCCUGCAGCUCUAACCCUGGGCUCUUCUGCCUGUCCUUACCUGGUGCACUUUUGUCCCAAACCAUAAAAUAAUG